GGUCCCGGAACUUGAGAUCCUCCUGCCUCAGUCUCCCAGAGUCACUGAGAUUACAGAGCCCUCUUCACACCUUUCUCCCAGCAGCCUCCUCUCUUCCCUCAACCUUUCAAACUUCCACAAUGAGAAACACACAGCAAGUAUGAAAACCCGCUGCACUGUCCUACGAUCCAGGUUGUACAGCAAGCAAAUACACAAAGAAGAUGUGCCAGAGAUGUCCAAGUGCAUCGUCUGGCUGGUCUGCCCUCUGCCGCAGGCUGGCUGGAGCCCCAGGGAAAGGUAGCUUUGCUUCCAUCCCGACAGCAACUGAUAAGGAAACUGAGGCAUAGAGGUGACUGAACAUGCCCAAGGCCACGCAAUCAACAAGAAAAUGGGAUUGAACCCCAAAUGGUUGUUACCAUGAGGUUCCCAAGGAAGAAGGCUAUAACCAGCAAAUGACAGGUGGAGGCUUCUUCUCCCUGGAGAUCUACGUGAACUCUUGCUGACAUUCCUCCCCUCGCCCAGCGCACAUUGAGACCAAAGUCAGAGGAAAGUCCAAGACUCCCCCCACCCGUUGCUACUAUUCUGUGGCCCAGGGACAUGAUUUUUUUUUCUCAUUGCCCUUUCUGCACCUUGACCUCCUCUUUUAUCUGCCAGUUCACAGCAGCGUGGAUUUUCGUCCUUCAUGGGUAUCCACAGAAACAGGUCCUCAUAGACCCCGGGUUAAAAACACUCAGCUAUGUGGGGUGAAGGGCAGGCUUGCGAUCCACCUCUGCCUGCUCACUUACCUGCUUUCCUUUCUCUUCCUCUGCCCGCUGCUUGGUCCUCUCCAAGUGUUUGGGAAGUGGCCAGGCAGGGCAGGCAGGACAUUUCCUGAGUUUUGCUGCUUUCCUAUAGGCAAUGGUUGAAUGCCCACGAGGGUUUUAGCUCAGGACAUGCCAUGAUUCUUUGGGCUAAACCCUCCCUCCAUCCGUGCCUGGGGAGAGCAGAGGACAAGAUGGGUGAAAAUCUUUAAGAUUUUUUUUGCUUCCUUUAAUCAGCUCCCAAGUCCACUGACUUCUGGCUCUCUGGAGUCCAAUAGGAAAGAAAAGAAAGAGUGGAUUGAAAAUGAGAAAAUACUCUGUGAAGGAGUAAAAGACAGUUGGAAAUGUAACACUCAUUUGGAGAUGGAAUGAAUACAUGAGAUAAAAUCCUGAAUAAAUAUCUUGCAUGGUACUAAUUGUGUUUUAAAGGCUGCCAUCGGAGAACAGAUAAAACGAUGCUGUAUUUCAUUAGUGGCUCCUGUAAUUCUAUGGUAUUUGCCAGC